rnacentral:rRNA from 1 species
AUUGAACGCUGGCGGCAUGCUUUACACAUGCAAGUCGAACGGUAACAGGCCUUCGGGUGCUGACGAGUGGCGAACGGGUGAGUAAUGCAUCGGAACGUACCCAGAGGUGGGGGAUAACGCAGCGAAAGCUGUGCUAAUACCGCAUGUGAUCUGAGGAUGAAAGCGGGGGACCGAGCAGCAAUGUUUGGCCUCGCGCCUUUGGAGCGGCCGAUGUCGGAUUAGCUAGUUGGUGGGGUAAAGGCCUACCAAGGCGACGAUCCGUAGCUGGUCUGAGAGGACGACCGGCGACAAUGGGACUGAGACACGGCCCAGACUACUACGGGAGGCAGCAGUGGGGAAUUUUGGACAAAGGGGGGAAGACUGCUCCAGCAAUGCCGCGUGCGGGAAGAAGGCCUUCGGGUUGUAAACCGCUUUUGGCAGGAACGAAACGGUGUCCGCUAAUACCGGGCGCUAAUGACGGUACCUGCAGAAUAAGCACCGGCUAACUACGUG